GAGAAACGCAAGCAAACAAACCGGGAUCAGAAGGUGACGCCUCUCUGGCCACACGUCUUAAGGUCACGACUUCUAAUCCCAGCUCCCUCUUAUUUCUGGAAGCAGUGGUAGAAACAUGUAAAAUGCAAGUAGAACUUUAGAGCUGAAAGGUACAUUAGCAUCCCACCUGGUUUGGAGGACAGUUACCAUCUACCGGAAAACACGAAGGCCCCUUCAUGCAAGCACCCAGGACUCACAGAGAUUUCACUGUCCAUGAGUCCUGCCACUAGUCUGCCUUCUCACACUUACCAAACCCAGGCAGAUGUGCCUUGGGCACUGGAAGGAAAACAUCCCUCGGGUCCCGCCCAGUUGUUCCGGCUUUAUCACAGUGACUGCUGACAAAGCCUUUACUUCACAAAGCAACAAAGCACACAGCAGCCAAAAAAUCCAGUGAAAUCAGGAUCUUGGAAAGGAUGUAAGGAAGCAAGACUUGUGCACAGGGGACUUGUCACUCAUUCAGUUCUACCCCACAGGGGGGCAAUGAGGGAGGUUUGGCUCCUGGAAGAGGCUAAGUGCAGGAAUGCUGGAUUCUGCUCUCAGCCUGCCUGGGGUCCACAACCUUGCCUGAACUCUGCAGCCGGAAUUUCCUCACUGGCCCUAAAGAAGGGCUUGUCAGUAGCUGAACAGAAUGCUAAAUCGGCAAUUGUGUAUAGGAAACCACAUAAUAAAGCUAGUAAAAAGGAAAUGAGAGAUCAACCAUAAAUAAAGAUUCCCUGA